GAUUAGAGUUUGAUCCUGGCUCAGAUUGAACGCUGGCGGCAGGCCUAACACAUGCAAGUCGAGCGGUAACAUUUCUAGCUUGCUAGAAGAUGACGAGCGGCGGACGGGUGAGUAAUGCUUGGGAACAUGCCUUGAGGUGGGGGACAACAGUUGGAAACGACUGCUAAUACCGCAUAAUGUCUACGGACCAAAGGGGGCUUCGGCUCUCGCCUUUAGAUUGGCCCAAGUGGGAUUAGCUAGUUGGUGAGGUAAUGGCUCACCAAGGCGACGAUCCCUAGCUGGUUUGAGAGGAUGAUCAGCCACACUGGGACUGAGACACGGCCCAGACUCCUACGGGAGGCAGCAGUGGGGAAUAUUGCACAAUGGGCGCAAGCCUGAUGCAGCCAUGCCGCGUGUGUGAAGAAGGCCUUCGGGUUGUAAAGCACUUUCAGUCAGGAGGAAAGGUUAGUAGUUAAUACCUGCUAGCCGUGACGUUACUGACAGAAGAAGCACCGGCUAACUCCGUGCCAGCAGCCGCGGUAA
rnacentral:rRNA from 1 species